rnacentral:rRNA from 1 species
GACCAGACUUUGAUUCUGGCUCAGGAUGAACGCUAGCUACAGGCUUAACACAUGCAAGUCGAGGGGAAACGACAUCGAAAGCUUGCUUUUGAUGGGCGUCGACCGGCGCACGGGUGAGUAACGCGUAUCCAACCUGCCCAUCACUUGGGGAUAACCUUGCGAAAGUAAGACUAAUACCCAAUGAUAUCUCUAGAAGACAUCUGAAGGAGAUUAAAGAUUUAUCGGUGAUGGAUGGGGAUGCGUCUGAUUAGCUUGUUGGCGGGGUAACGGCCCACCAAGGCGACGAUCAGUAGGGGUUCUGAGAGGAAGGUCCCCCACAUUGGAACUGAGACACGGUCCAAACUCCUACGGGAGGCAGCAGUGAGGAAUAUUGGUCAAUGGGCGAGAGCCUGAACCAGCCAAGUAGCGUGCAGGAUGACGGCCCUAUGGGUUGUAAACUGCUUUUAUAAGGGAAUAAAGUGAGUCUCGUGAGACUUUUUGCAUGUACCUUAUGAAUAAGGACCGGCUAAUUCCGUGCCAGCAGCCGCGGUAAUACGGAAGGUCCGGGCGUUAUCCGGAUUUAUUGGGUUUAAAGGGAGCGUAGGCCGGAGAUUAAGCGUGUUGUGAAAUGUAGACGCUCAACGUCUGCACUGCAGCGCGAACUGGUUUCCUUGAGUACGCACAAAGUGGGCGGAAUUCGUGGUGUAGCGGUGAAAUGCUUAGAUAUCACGAAGAACUCCGAUUGCGAAGGCAGCUCACUGGAGCGCAACUGACGCUGAAGCUCGAAAGUGCGGGUAUCGAACAGGAUUAGAUACCCUGGUAGUCCGCACGGUAAACGAUGGAUGCCCGCUGUUGGUCUGAAUAGGUCAGCGGCCAAGCGAAAGCAUUAAGCAUCCCACCUGGGGAGUACGCCGGCAACGGUGCAACUCAAAGGAAUUGACGG